UGAAGUCAGACCUCUGCUGGCAACCCCGAGUCCCCUAAGACUGAGUCCUCCCUCCCGCGCAGACAGAGCUCGGGACGGGACCUGAAGAGGAACCAGUGCUCCAGCACCCCAGCUGUCCCCUGGCACCGCGAGUCUCCAGGACUUUACCCACCUGAGAAUGCACCAUGCACUGAGAUCCUGAGGAACGCUUCAGUUUGAAAACAGCGGGAACACAGGUGUGGCCGUGGCUCACAACCACUGAUUAGACAGAAACUUAAACAACAGCAGAACUGCAAGAAUAAGAACCCUGGGCCUUCGAAUGGACCACAGGAGUGAGAGCUACCUAGCGUGGUGAGGAGCAAGUGCAAUUUCAGUGUCACUGGAGUACGAUGACUUCGCACAGCUAAAGGGCUGUACUUCAUGUUCAUCUUCAUGUGUGGACUCACACUAAAAAGCCAGUAACUGUGAGUCUCCUGUGAGUUCCCUAAAUCUAGAGAACAUUCUUCCCAGUGGGCAAUGAAAAACAACAUCUCCGGAGUAACCGAAACAGUCCCGAGAUGGUGUUUUAUUGCAGGAGUAGGCACAGCCUGAUUGGAAGUGGCACAUCUCACUCAGCCAGGGUGAAGCCCAGUAGUCUGCAUUAAGAAGUCAAAGGAGAUGGUAGUGGCCGCUGCAAGUUCAUAACCCUCUUCUUGCUGUUUUGUUUCUGUUUUGUUUGGUUUUGUCUUUUUUCCAUUCGUAAUAGUUUUCAGGCCUGUUUGUAACAUUUGUGUAGCCCUAGGCAAGAAGAUAAAUGGAUGCCCACUUCCGUAUGUCUAAAUGUUUAAAAGUUACAAAUCAAGCUGUUAAUCGAUUAUAAUUGUCUAUCAUUUUGUCUAAAUCAAAACACUGUUAAAUAAAACAGGCCCUAUCCUUCCAUGUUGACAAACAUACCACUAGGACAAAAAAACAGAAACUGUGUAGGUAUGAUU